rnacentral:tRNA from 1 species
GCCCAGAUAGCUCAGUUGGUAGAGCAGCGGACUGAAAAUCCGCGUGUCGGCGGUUCGAAUCCGCCUCUGGGCACCA